rnacentral:rRNA from 1 species
GACGAACCGUGCGAACGUUGUUCGGAAUCACUGGGCUUAAAGGGCGCGUAGGCGGGCUUGAUAGUCCGUGGUGAAAGCCCCCGGCUUAACCGGGGAAGUGCCAUGGAUACUGCAAGCCUGGAGGAGGGUAGGGGCAUCUGGAACGCUGGGUGGAGCGGUGAAAUGCGUUGAUAUCCAGCGGAACUCCGGUGGCGAAGGCGAGGUGCUGGACCCUUUCUGACGCUGAUGCGCGAAAGCCAGGGGAGCAAACGGG